UACGUAGGGUGCGAGCGUUAAUCGGAAUUACUGGGCGUAAAGCGUGCGCAGGCGGUGAUGUAAGACAGGUGUGAAAUCCCCGGGCUUAACCUGGGAACUGCAUUUGUGACUGCAUCGCUGGAGUGCGGCAGAGGGGGAUGGAAUUCCGCGUGUAGCAGUGAAAUGCGUAGAUAUGCGGAGGAACACCGAUGGCGAAGGCAAUCCCAUGGGCCUGCACUGACGCUCAUGCACGAAAGCGUGGGGAGCAAACAGG
rnacentral:rRNA from 1 species